rnacentral:rRNA from 1 species
UGACGGCGAGACGCUAAGGCGUUGAAGCAGUGUACGUCAGACUUCCAAGAAAAGCUCGCAAUGUCAUAAAUAAAAAUGCCUGUACCACAACCGACACAGGUGGGUAGGUAGAGUAUACUAAGGGGCGCGAGAUAACUCUCCCUAAGGAACUCGGCAGAAUGACUCCGUAACUUCGGGAGAAGGAGUGCCUUAUUUAUAAGGUUGCAAUAACAAGAUCCAAGCAACUGUUUAUCAAAAACACAGGUCUCCGCUAAGUCGUAAGACGAUGUAUGGGGGCUGACGCCUGCCCAGUGCCAGAAGGUUAAAGAAGUUGGUUAGUGUAUGCGAAGCUGAUGACUGAAGCCCUGGUGAACGGCGGCCGUAACGAUAACGGUCCUAAGGUAGCGAAAUUCCUUGUCGGGUAAGUUCCGACCCGCACGAAAGGCGUAAUGAUUUGGAUACUGUCUCGGAGAGAGGCUCGGUGAAAUAGACUUGUCUGUGAAGAUGCGGACUACCUGCACCAGGACAGAAAGACCCUAUGAAGCUUUACUGUAACUUGAAAUUGGAAUUGGACUUUGCUUGCGCAGUAUAGGUGGGAAGCGUUGAAGAUAUUCUUGCGGGAGUAUUGGAGCUAUCAGUGAGAUACCACUCUUGUAAUGUUAGAUUUCUAACUUUGAACCAUAAUCUGGUCAAAGAACAGUUUCAGGUGGGCAGUUUGACUGGGGCGGUCGCCUCCCAAAUGGUAACGGAGGCGUACAAAGGUUUCCUCUGAACGGAUAGAAAUCGUAUCUAGAGUGUAAAGGCAUAAGGAAGCUUGACUGUGAGACCUACAAGUCGAGCAGGGACGAAAGUCGGUCUUAGUGAUCUGACGGUACUGAGUGGAAAGGCCGUCACUCAACGGAUAAAAGUUACUCUAGGAUAACAGGCUGAUCUCCCCCAAGAGUUCACAUCGACGGGGAGGUUUGGCACCUCGAUGUCGGCUCAUCGCAUCCUGGGGCGGUAGUACGUCCCAAGGGUUGGGCUGUUCGCCCAUGAAAGCGGUACGCGAGCUGGGUUCAGAACGUCGUGAGACAGUUCGGUCCAUAUCCGGUGUAGGCGUUAGAAUAUUGAGAGGAGCCUUCUUUAGUACGAGAGGACCGAGAAGGACACACCGCUGGUGUACCAGUUAUCGUGCCAACGGUAAACGCUGGGUAGCUAUGUGUGGAGUGGAUAACCGCUGAAAGCAUCUAAGUGGGAAGCCCACCUCAAGAUGAGUAUUCUCUU